rnacentral:rRNA from 1 species
UACGUAGGGGCCUAGCGUUGUCCGGAUUUAUUGGGCGUAAAGAGCUCGUAGGCGGUUCGGUAAGUCAGGUGUGAAAUCUCCACGCUCAACGUGGAGGCGCCACCUGAAACUGCCGUGACUCGAGUCCGGUAGGGGAGUGUGGAAUUCCCGGUGUAGCGGUGAAAUGCGCAGAUAGUCGGGAGGAACACCAAUAGCGAAGGCAGCUCGCUGGGGACGUUACUGACGCUGAGACGCG